rnacentral:rRNA from 1 species
UACGGAGGGGGCUAGCGUUGCUCGGAUUGACUGGGCGUAAAGGGCGCGUAGGCGGAUAGUACAGUCAGGCGUGAAAUUCCUAGGCUCAACCUGGGGGCUGCGUUUGAUACGUAUUGUCUGGAGUUCGGAAGAGGGUCGUGGAAUUCCCAGUGUAGAGGUGAAAUUCGUAGAUAUUGGGAAGAACACCGGUGGCGAAGGCGGCGACCUGGUCCGAUACUGACGCUGAGGCGCGAAAGCGUGGGAGCAAACAGG